GGGGGACGGAGAAGGCUAUGUUGGCCGGGCGACGGUUGUCCCGGUUUAAGCGUGUAGGUGUGUGUUCCAGGUAAAUCCGGUUCACUUUAACACUGAGGCGUGACGACGAGGCACUACGGUGCUGAAGCAACAAAUGCCCUGCUUCCAGGAAAAGCCUCUAAGCAUCAGGUAACACGAAAUCGUACCCCAAACCGACACAGGUGGUCAGGUAGAGAAUACCAAGGCGCUUGAGAGAACUCGGGUGAAGGAACUAGGCAAAAUGGUGCCGUAACUUCGGGAGAAGGCACGCUGACACGUAGGUGAAGUGAUUUACUCAUGGAGCUGAAGUCAGUCGAAGAUACCAGCUGGCUGCAACUGUUUAUUAAAAACACAGCACUGUGCAAACACGAAAGUGGACGUAUACGGUGUGACGCCUGCCCGGUGCCGGAAGGUUAAUUGAUGGGGUCAGCGCAAGCGAAGCUCCUGAUCGAAGCCCCGGUAAACGGCGGCCGUAACUAUAACGGUCCUAAGGUAGCGAAAUUCCUUGUCGGGUAAGUUCCGACCUGCACGAAUGGCGUAAUGAUGGCCAGGCUGUCUCCACCCGAGACUCAGUGAAAUUGAACUCGCUGUGAAGAUGCAGUGUACCCGCGGCAAGACGGAAAGACCCCGUGAACCUUUACUAUAGCUUGACACUGAACAUUGAGCCUUGAUGUGUAGGAUAGGUGGGAGGCUUUGAAGUGUGGACGCCAGUCUGCAUGGAGCCGACCUUGAAAUACCACCCUUUAAUGUUUGAUGUUCUAACGUGGACCCGUAAUCCGGGUUGCGGACAGUGUCUGGUGGGUAGUUUGACUGGGGCGGUCUCCUCCUAAAGAGUAACGGAGGAGCACGAAGGUUGGCUAAUCCUGGUCGGACAUCAGGAGGUUAGUGCAAUGGCAUAAGCCAGCUUGACUGCGAGCGUGACGGCGCGAGCAGGUGCGAAAGCAGGUCAUAGUGAUCCGGUGGUUCUGAAUGGAAGGGCCAUCGCUCAACGGAUAAAAGGUACUCCGGGGAUAACAGGCUGAUACCGCCCAAGAGUUCAUAUCGACGGCGGUGUUUGGCACCUCGAUGUCGGCUCAUCACAUCCUGGGGCUGAAGUAGGUCCCAAGGGUAUGGCUGUUCGCCAUUUAAAGUGGUACGCGAGCUGGGUUUAGAACGUCGUGAGACAGUUCGGUCCCUAUCUGCCGUGGGCGCUGGAGAACUGAGGGGGGCUGCUCCUAGUACGAGAGGACCGGAGUGGACGCAUCACUGGUGUUCGGGUUGUCAUGCCAAUGGCACUGCCCGGUAGCUAAAUGCGGAAGAGAUAAGUGCUGAAAGCAUCUAAGCACGAAACUUGCCCCGAGAUGAGUUCUCCCUGAGACUUAGAGUCUCCUGAAGGAACGUUGAAGACGACGACGUUGAUAGGCCGGGUGUGUAAGCGCAGCGAUGCGUUGAGCUAACCGGUACUAAUGAACCGUGAGGCUUAACCUUACAACGCCGAAG
rnacentral:rRNA from 1 species